rnacentral:rRNA from 1 species
UACGUAGGGCGCAAGCGUUGUCCGGAAUCAUUGGGCGUAAAGAGCUCGUAGGUGGUCUGUUACGUCUGCUGUGAAAUCCUAGGGCUUAACCCUGGGCCUGCAGUGGAUACGGGCAGACUAGAGGUAGGUAGGGGAGAAUGGAAUUCCCGGUGUAGCGGUGAAAUGCGCAGAUAUCAGGAGGAACACCGAUGGCGAAGGCAGGUCUCUGGGCCACUACUGACGCUGAGGAGCGAAAGCGUGGGGAGCGAACAGG